UUCCAGACUCCUACGGGAGGCAGCAGUGGGGAAUAUUGCACAAUGGGGGAAACCCUGAUGCAGCGACGCCGCGUGAGUGAAGAAGUAAUUCGUUAUGUAAAGCUCUAUCAGCAGGGAAGAAAAUGACGGUACCUGAGUAAGAAGCCCCGGCUAACUACGUGCCAGCAGCCGCGGUAAUACGUAGGGGGCAAGCGUUAUCCGGAUUUACUGGGUGUAAAGGGAGCGUAGACGGCAGUGCAAGUCUGGAGUGAAAGGCGGGGGCUCAACCCCCGGACUGCUCUGGAAACUGUACGGCUGGAGUGCAGGAGAGGUAAGUGGAAUUCCUAGUGUAGCGGUGAAAUGCGUAGAUAUUAGGAGGAACACCAGUGGCGAAGGCGACUUUCUGGACUGUACCUGACGCUGAGGCGCGAAAGCGUGGGUAGCGAACGGGAUUAGAUACCCCGGUACC
rnacentral:rRNA from 1 species